rnacentral:rRNA from 1 species
GGACCCGCACAAGUAGUGGAGCAUGUGGUUUAAUUCGAAGAUACGCGCAGAACCUUACCAACACUUGACAUGUUCGUCGCGACUUUAAGAGAUUAAAGUUUUCGGUUCGGCCGGACGAAACACAGGUGCUGCAUGGCUGUCGUCAGCUCGUGUCGUGAGAUGUUGGUUAAGUCCCGCAACGAGCGCAACCCUCACUUUUAGUUGCCAUCAUUAAGUUGGGCACUCUAUGGAAACUGCCCGUGAUAAGCGGGAGGAAGGUGUGGAUGACGUCAAGUCCUCAUGGCCCUUACGGGUUGGGCUACACACGUGCUACAAUGGUAGUGACAAUGGGUUAAUCCCAAAAAGCUAUCUCAGUUCGGA